AUUGCUUUUCUGUGUUUUGGCUAAGAUCAAGUUUAGUAUCUGUUCUUAUCAGUUUAAUAUCUGAUACGUCCCCUAUCUGGGGAUCAUAUAAUAAAUUGACUUUUUGAACAGGGAGAUGAAAGAAGAACUUGCUCUGUCCACUCUAUGCACUGACCUUGUAUUGCAGUACCUUCAGAACCGGUGCACCAAAA